GGAGGGAUGGCCGAGAGGCUUAAGGCAACGCUUUGCUAAAGCGUCGAACUGGUUAUACCGGUUCCGUGGGUUCGAAUCCCACUCCCUCCG
rnacentral:tRNA from 3 species